GGGAAAGUGGCUUAGUAAUAGAGCGCUUGCCUAGCAUGCAUGAAGCCCUGGGUUCGAUUCCCCAGUACCA
rfam:Dipodomys ordii contig_55301, whole genome shotgun sequence.